CCUAGCUCUCACGAGCCAGGCUAGCGUAUGCCGUACCUUAGGUACU
rnacentral:ncRNA from 1 species